AAAAAAAAAUUCAUUCACGAUAACUUUAUCUUCGUUUAAAGGAUUAGUGACUUUGAAGUUAGACGUAUUUUAAAAGCUGUACAAUUUUAUUUUUCUGUAUUCCAAUUGUUUUGAAAAAGAAAAAGCCGUUUUUAGUUUACAUAUGCUUUGUGUUGAAAAUAUGUUUAUUGAAGAUAUGUGAAAUGACAUGUGCUGUAAUGGGAUGCCGUCCGACGAAGCCGAAAAAUUCUGUUGCUGAUGAAAAUGUUGACCGUCUCACCAAUGGUAACCAUAUAAAUGAUAAUAACUGCAAUCAGGUUACGAAUGGCACUAAGCAUCAAGUAAAUAUAA
rnacentral:lncRNA from 1 species